CCUACGGGUGGCAGCAGUGGGGGAUAUUGCACAAUGGGGGAAACCCUGAUGCAGCGACGCCGCGUGAGUGAAGACGGAUUUCGGUAUGUAAAGCUCUAUCAGCAGGGAAGAAAAUGACAGUACCUGACCAAGAAGCCCCGGCUAACUACGUGCCAGCAUCCGCUGUAAUACGUAGGGGAGAAGCGUUAUCCGGAUUUACUGGGUGUAAAGGGAGCGUAGACGGUUAUGUAAGUCUGGAGUGAAAGCGCUGGGCCCAACCCCUGGACUGCUUUGGAAACUGUGUAACUGGAGUACGGGAGGGGUAGGCGGAAUUCCUGGUGUAGCGGUGAAAUGCGUAGAUAUCAGGAGGAACACCGGCGGCGAAGGCGG
rnacentral:rRNA from 1 species